AUGACUGCCACUCCUUGUUCAGGCUGUAACCACUCCUUCUGUCCUGCUUCCCUGAUUACAGAGCAUUUUUGGGAGUGUUUAUCUUGUGGAUUUGCUGACCUGCUGUGUGUGCAGGAGGGGUGGCAGCUUUCUCAAGCACUGCUCUCUGCUGCUUUUGUUGCUUAUUCCUCCCCUCUGUGUGGUUGUAUUCCCAGUUCAGGUUUAAAUAAUAAGCUGGGAAAAGCUUGGGAUGUCGAGGGAGGUGGUGAGGGCUUGAACAGCCUUUCCCAAAGAGCAGGGAACAUUUAUUCCUGAUGUGUGACCAAGUUUAUUUUCCCAAAUACAGAGAAAUCAAAUCAGAGACAGGAAUAUUUCUCCCAGCUCAGACAUGAGGUUCCUGCUGCAGUGGUUGAAGCAUGGCCCAGCCCUCCUCCUUGAAGCCCUGGCAGGAGCCUGUCUUGGACUGUGGCUGGCUUUUCUGAGCUUCAGAGGGAUGGCGAUGUAAUUCUUUCCGGGAGCGAAUUUCCAAACAGAAGAUGGAUGAGUUGGGAGCGUGAGGAUCUAUUAAUACAUCUGCUGGUGUGGCAUGCCGUGCUCUGCUGAGAGCCGGGGGGGUGGAUGACAAAAAUUCUCCGUCGUGCUCGGUUCUCGUCCGGCGCUCCCUCCGCGCUGCGGUGGCUGCGAGCGCAGCUCGGGGAUGAGAGGUUCUCCUUUCACUACACCGGGGAAGCCCGGCUGGGAGAGGGGCAGGGACACUGCGGAGAUGCCGGGCUGGGAGGGAGUUCCUGCAGCAGCAGCAGCAGCAGUGAUUCCCCAUCUGGGAGAGCCAGCCCGGGGCUGGAGAUGCGCUGUGCCCGCAUUGCCAAAGCUCUCGGGGCUCUGCGCGGCCGGGGGAGCGGGGAUUCCGUGCUCAGCCUCCUGCCGCUCGCACAGGGGAGGGCCGUCGUGUGGAAAACGCCAAUCGCUUGGAUUUUAAGAUUUUAAAAGUUUAAUAGUAAUAAAAUGGUUUUAAAAAAUAUAGCAAUAUAAUUAGAGUAAUAAUAAUUUGGACAGUUAGGAUUAGGACAAUAUGAGACAAUAGGAACAAAGAGUUACAGACAGUCCAGGUACCUUUUCUGGGCAAAAUAAGCCCGAAAAAGGCCCCACGUUAACCCUUAAGGAUUUAAGGAUUAACCCUGAAAAGCAACAGCCUGU